AGCCAGGGACAAUUCAUUUCCAAAGUACAAAAUCCCAACACAGGAAAAAGUGGCCAGAACUUCCACGGGAAUCAAGCCCCCAUGUUCUUUUCUAACGUAAUCAAGAGUGCUGGAAAGGCGGCCUGGACAAGAUCAUAGAAGACAUCAUAACUUCUUUUCUUACAUUUUUCUGUAGGCCUGUGGUCCUCUACUUGGGGAAAUGGAAAGGUGCCUGUACACUAGCACAGAAGCCAAAGGAAGAUGUCCAGUGUCCCACUCUUCCCCUCUCCAUCUUAUUCCCUUGAGAAUGGUUCUCUCACCAAACCUGACUGUGGAGCUCGGCUGACGACAGCCAACUGACAAGAACUUGGUCAAGACUGCCGAGAUGAAACAAAAAUUCCCCAUCUGUGAAUGUAGGUAAAUUUAUUAGACCUUCCUAAUGGGAAAGUUGACCGUGGCUUGUGUUUGUCUGGAUAGUCAAGAAAAUCAGAAGCAAUACCAUCCACAGUGGUAGGAAAGAAAGGAUGUAUUAUGGAAUCAGCUCACAUGACAUGGAGGCUGGAAGCCCCAUGACAGCCAUUUGCAAGCUGGAGAUCCAGAGUCUCCAGUGGUAGGACUCACAUGCCAAGGCCAGAGGUCCCAGAAGCCAGUGGUGAACCCCAGGCUAGAACCAAAGUCCCGGAAAAGGGCUGGACGGUGGGAGAAGCAGAGUGGGUUGUAGAGCAGAGGGGACCAGAGGACUUGGGCUUUGAUGUUUCAAUGGCAAAGGAGGAUGUGUACCAGCUUUAGGAGAGAAGGGAGAUUCUUGCUUUCUCUGACUUUUAAAGUGUGUGUGUCUGUGUGUGUGUGUGUGUGUGUGUGUGUGUGCAUGCGCGCCCACACACACACAUAUAGACACAUGCAUAUCACUACACGCUGUUUCAUACAACAGGCUAGCUGGUUUCGGUGCUUCAUGGAUUCUCGUAUCUAGACUGCUAUCCAGCUGUAGGAGUGUUGGGAUUACAGAUGCAGGCUGCUGCGUCCAGUUUUACAAGGGGUUCAAACUCAGGCCCUUCCUCUGCUCUUUUACUCUUCAAAGAAUUGGAAGCUCAAUGACAGCAGCCAAGGAAGAUCUUUACUCAGUCUGUUGACUCAAAUGCUAAGUUUUUCCUGAAUUACCUUCACAGAGAAACCCGGAAGUAAAGCUUU